rnacentral:piRNA from 1 species
UGCCAAACAUGCACUCAUCCAGGA